UACAGAGGUCCCAAGCGUUGUUCGGAUUCACUGGGCGUAAAGGGUGCGUAGGUGGCGUGGUAAGUUUGAUGUGAAAGCUCAGGGCUUAACCCUGAAAUGGCAUUGAAUACUACUGUGCUGGAGGUUUGGAGGGGGGACUGGAAUUCUUGGUGUAGCAGUGAAAUGCGUAGAUAUCACGAGGAACACCAGUGGCGAAGGCGAGUCCCUGGACAACAACUGACACUGAGGCACGAAAGCGAGGGGAGCAAACAGG
rnacentral:rRNA from 1 species